AGAGCGGGGACGGUGAGAAGCGCGCGUAGAAGUCCACUUGGCCCGGAACGCCGCGUUCGGGCGCCGGGCCGGAGCCCGAGUCCGAGAAAAAAAGAAAAAAUCAAGAAGAAUCAGUACAUAGCAAUUUCAAGAUGCCUACAGACUGACUUUGUGCGCAUGCUUCCACCCCAACCGGCAUUCUGGUCAUUGUAUUAAGGCCUUGAAACAACUGAACACAGAAGUUCUCUGGUCCUGCGAGAAGAACAUUUGCAGAGGUGGUGCCUAAGCAAGGAGGUCACGACGGUCACUCUGUUGGCACAGUGGUUGUGGU